rnacentral:lncRNA from 1 species
UCUGUGCAAAGGCAGAGGCUGUGGGAGCAGCAUCAAGCAAGACUUCGGGCAGUGAUUCUAACUAUUGCCUAUGAACACCGUGGCUGGGACGACUUUGACGAGGCAAUUUAUUACUUACGCAUAGAACACUGGCUGUGCUGAAACUGGGAGCGCAAACAGCCCCUUGUUUUCUAAUUUAGAGACUUGCAUCUUUUCGACACUCAACAGUAUCAAGACACUCUGCUACUACAGAUUGAUUUCCACCAUCAACACCUUUACCUCUUCCCGCCUGAAAAUAAAAUAUGAAAUAUAACAAGUAAAUCGCAAUCUACCUUGAAUCUUCUGGAGAGGAAAGAAGAAACCAUGUCUAGACAAGGUGCUGGAAAGACCCAGGGAAGACACAGGUGAGCUAAGAAAGCAGUAGAAACUGGGUAAUUAAAAGUCAACAUAAUGGCUGGAAACUUGUUCAAGGAGAUAUAAAAAGAAAGAAAAACCAAAAGAGAGACUGUAUGGAUGAACUUUGUCUAUUUACAAUUUUGUCUAAGGCCAAAUCUGCAGUCUGGUCCCACCGCAUGUUAUCUAAGUUGUUCAUAUACCAAUACUAAGAGCUACUGAAAUUCUUCCAAAAAAUCAAAAUCAUUUCCCCUUUGAUUUGCUAGUUUUCCCUCUUGGUAAAUAAAGAUUCAUUUUUUAGUAAUAACUGACCUGCCCUAAGGGUUCACCACUUUCUUCUGAUCUCAAAUCUUGUGCUAGGUCUUUAGGUUACAAUUCAUGAAACUAAAAAAUAAACAAAAAAAUUCUCUUA